GCCCUGUAUUCCAACCUACUGCCUUCCGUGAGCUACACUCAUAUCCCCAGUAGUCAUCAGUCACACAUAUGUAUGGGUCCUUAAUGUUAGGUAUGUCUUUGUACACUGUUGACAACAAUGCUGGUGGAAAUGUACAAUUUACAAUAUCACAAUAAUCAAAUGCAAAUGUGGCUACCCGUGUACUAGAGGAAUUGUACCAAAAUGUAUAAACAUGAUUGUCUUUGGUUAUAGCGACUUGUUGGGCCUUUAUCAGACCUAGCAGCAAGAACAAAUACACAAAAUUCAUGAUGUAACAGGAUCUGCUUCCUCUGGAUCUGGGACUUUCUUGCAAUGUGAAGCGUGUAUCCAAGAGUUCUUUCCAGCCAAUUUAACUGAGGUAGUCGUGGUUAGAACGGACCAUCAUAUCUGGGUUCAAGGGUAUGUUUUCUCAGGAACUUCUUAACCAGAACCCAAUCACCAGGGAGCAACUUGUGUGUGCCUGUAUCGGACUCUGGAUCUG